rnacentral:rRNA from 1 species
UACAGAGGUCUCGAGCGUUAGGCGGAAUCACUGGGCUUAAAGCGUGUGUAGGCGGAUCGUUAAGUACCUUGUGAAAUCCCACGGCUUAACCGUGGAACUGCUUGGUAUACUGGCGGUCUUGAGCCAGCUAGGGGCUACCGGAACAAAUGGUGGAGCGGUGAAAUGCGUAGAUAUCAUUUGGAACGCCAAUGGUGAAAACAGGUAGCUGGGGCUGUGCUGACGCUGAGACACGAAAGCCAGGGGAGCAAACGGA